rnacentral:rRNA from 1 species
GAACGCUAGCGGCAGGCCUAACACAUGCAAGUCGAGGGGUAACAGGGAGCUUGCUCCGCUGACGACCGGCGCACGGGUGCGCACCGCGUAUGGAACCUACCUUGUACAGGGGAAUAGCCCAGGGAAACUUGGAUUAAUGCCCCGUAGUACCACGCUCUGGCAUCAGGAUGUGGUUAAAGCCUUCGGGCGGUACAAGAUGGCCAUGCGUCCCAUUAGUUUGUUGGUAAGGUAACGGCUUACCAAGACUACGAUGGGUAGGGGCCCUGAGAGGGGGAUCCCCCACACUGGUACUGAGACACGGACCAGACUCCUACGGGAGGCAGCAGUGAGGAAUAUUGGACAAUGGAGGAGACUCUGAUCCAGCCAUGCCGCGUGCAGGAAGAAUGCCCUAUGGGUAGUAAACUGCUUUUAUACAGGAAGAAAAAGAGCUACGUGUAGCUUACUGACGGUACUGUAAGAAUAAGGACCGGCUAACUCCGUGCCAGCAGCCGCGGUAAUACGGAGGGUCCGAGCGUUAUCCGGAAUUAUUGGGUUUAAAGGGUCCGUAGGCGGGCCGAUAAGUCAGGGGUGAAAGUUUGCAGCUCAACUGUAAAAUUGCCUUUGAUACUGUUGGUCUUGAGUUAUAGUGAAGUUGCCGGAAUAUGUAGUGUAGCGGUGAAAUGCAUAGAUAUUACAUAGAACACCGAUUGCGAAGGCAGGUGACUAACUAUAUACUGACGCUGAUGGACGAAAGCGUGGGGAGCGAACAGGAUUAGAUACCCUGGUAGUCCACGCCGUAAACGAUGGAUACUAGCUGUCCGAGUCCUUGAGACUUGGGCGGCCCAGCGAAAGUGAUAAGUAUCCCACCUGGGGAGUACGUUCGCAAGAAUGAAACUCAAAGGAAUUGACGGGGGCCCGCACAAGCGGUGGAGCAUGUGGUUUAAUUCGAUGAUACGCGAGGAACCUUACCAGGGCUUAAAUGCAUAUUGACAGGUCUAGAGAUAGAUUUUCCUUCGGGCAAUUUGCAAGGUGCUGCAUGGUUGUCGUCAGCUCGUGCCGUGAGGUGUCAGGUUAAGUCCUAUAACGAGCGCAACCCCUACCGUUAGUUGCCAGCAUGUCAUGAUGGGGACUCUAACGGGACUGCCGGUGCAAACCGUGAGGAAGGUGGGGAUGACGUCAAAUCAUCACGGCCCUUACGUCCUGGGCCACACACGUGCUACAAUGGCAGGUACAGAGAGCAGCCAUGUCGCAAGGCAGAGCGAAUCUAUAAAACCUGUCACAGUUCGGAUCGGGGUCUGCAACUCGACCCCGUGAAGCUGGAAUCGCUAGUAAUCGGAUAUCAGCCAUGAUCCGGUGAAUACGUUCCCGGGCCUUGUACACACCGCCCGUCAAGCCAUGGAAGCUGGGAGUGCCUGAAGUCCGUCACCGUAAGGAGCGGCCUAGGGCAAGAUCGGUAACUAGG